rnacentral:lncRNA from 1 species
CCAGUCUCUACUGCCGUACCACUGACAUCUGCCUCUGAUGUUGUUGGCCAACAUAAUAAAACAGGAGGCAUUACUUUUGGAACAACCCUAAUAGUCUUCUCUGACUGCUACUUUUGUUAUCUCACAUGUGGUUUUUAUAUUACUGAAUUUUUUAAAAAGAAUUUUAGCAUUACUUGUUCAUAGCAUUUAUCACUGUACUAUGCUUUGAAAAGGCAUUAAUUUGAAACUUUUCUAUAAUAGUGUGUUAGUUCACUUGUUUAUAUAGGUUACAAAAGGUGCUGGACAGGUAUGAAGGAUGUAAGUUUUCUCUGUAUCAGACAGAGGAAAAGGUGCUGGACAGGUAUGAAGGAUGUAAGUUUUCUCUGUAUCAGACAGAGGAAAAGAAUGGAGAUUCCAACUCAGGAGAUCAGAGUCAGGUCAGAGACAUUCUAUUUCUAGGAAACGUUUUCUGGGAAAUCUGCCUGGGCUCGUUUACCUUCAAUUGUCAGUGCAUUUCAUCAGGAGAAGAAAACUGUUCAGAUAAAGGGUCAGAUCUGCCAGUUUCUAUUAGAACUGAAUAAAUACUUUAAAAGCUCAGCUGAUCAUCAUUUCUUGAAUUUCAGAGUUAUACAGAAGAUGAUUUUGGAAUCUAUUUGUGUAAUAGCCCCUGCUUUGGAGCGUAGAUGUUUCCUGGGUAAUGAGAACAAAUUAUUGUAAAACAUCAGUGCCUCUUCAAAGGAUAACAGACUAAGAUGAAAUUCUGACCUCCUUUCGCUUUGGGAAUGUGGCUUAUGAAACUGUCUUAAAUUCUACCUUAAAGGUUGAGUCCGUGAGGACUCCAGAAAUGCUGGUGAGAAAUUCCUUGCCUCAGUUCUUUCCCACCCGUAGAUACUAACAAGAGAGGGGAUUGGCCCAUAUGGCUUGCAUUUCUCAUUCUGCACUAGCAAAGACACCUGGACAGUUAACACCUGAAGUUUACUUUGCAGGACUCUGUUGUGAGCAGGACUUUUCAAGAAUGAAGGAAAAUUUGCCUUCUCACUACCUACCAGAAGCACUUCCAGAAGAAAAAGUUCCAGCCUUCCUCCCACAUACAGAAGUGAAUAAGAUGAUGAGAAAUAUCUGGGAUAUGUGAUAUUAACACAGUAGUAAAAGAAAGAAUGCAUAAAUUCAGAAGAAUGGGUAUGAGUAGAAGGCAAACACAAGGUAUGUCAGUAUUACAGCUUCUUUUAAUAAAAUGAUUUUAAUUGAGAUAAAU